ensembl:snoRNA
AUACUUUUGUAGUUAUAAGCAUGAUGAUUGAGUAUUCACACACAUGCAUGAUACAUGCAACCUUCCCACCUUAUUAAGAUGUUGGCAUAUAACCCAUCUUACA